rnacentral:rRNA from 1 species
UCAAUUGGAGGGCAAGUCUGGUGCCAGCAGCCGCGGUAAUUCCAGCUCCAAUAGCGUAUAUUAAAGUUGUUGCGGUUAAAAAGCUCGUAGUCUGAGGUCUGUUCCGGACUGGCUGGGGAGGUCACCGCCCGGUGCUUCCCCGUCAGGUUCCGAACAGCUUCUGCCGCGAGCGGAAGCCAUGCCGGUUCUGUCGGGGUGCUCUUGACCGAGUGUCCCGUGUGGCCGGCAGGUUCACCUUGAACAAAUGAGAGUGCUCAAAGCAGGCUACUCUUAAAACUAAAGCCUGAAUGUUAACUGCAUGGAAUGAUGAAAGAUGAUCUCGGUUCUAUUAGUACUGGGGUUAAGAACCCGAGUUAAUGAUAAACAGGUCUGUGAUGCCCUUACCANANUAYGACNNGANCGGNGAAAUUCAGUGACCGUCGUAGGGACGAACAACAGCGAAAGCAUUUGCCAAGAAUGUCUUCGUUGAUCAAGAACGAAAGUUAGAGGAUCGAAGGCGAUCAGAUACCGCCCUAGUUCUAACCCUAAACGAUGGCUAACUAGCUAUUCGCCGUCGUUAUUCCCAUGACGUGGCGAGACGCCCCCGGGAAACCUCAAGUCUUUGAGUUCCGGGGGGUAGUAUGGUUGCAAAACUGAAACUUAAAGGAAUUGACGGAAGGGCACCACCAGGAGUGGAGCCUGCGGCUUAAUUUGACUCAACACGGGAAACCUCACCAGGCCCGGACACCAGAAGGAUUGACAGAAUGAGAGCUCUUUCUCGAUUUGGUGGGGUGGUGGUGCAUGGCCGUUCUUAGUUGGUGGAGUGAUUUGUCUGG